rnacentral:rRNA from 1 species
UGGCGGGCGGGUGAGUAACGCGUAAAGAACUUGCCCUUUAGACUGGGAUAACAGAGGGAAACUUCUGAUAAUACUGGAUAAGUUAGUAUAUCGCAUGAUAUGCAAAUGAAAGCUACGGCACUAAAGGAGAGCUUUGCGUCCUAUUAGCUAGUUGGUAAGGUAAGAGCUUACCAAGGCGAUGAUAGGUAGCCGGCCUGAGAGGGUGGACGGCCACAAGGGGACUGAGAUACGGCCCUUACUCCUACGGGAGGCAGCAGCG